rnacentral:rRNA from 1 species
GACGAACGCUGGCGGCGUACUUAACACGUGCAAGUCGAACGGUAAGGCCCUUCGGGGUACACGAGUGGCGAACGGGUGAGUAACACGUGGGUGAUCUGCCCUGCACUUCGGGAUAAGCCUGGGAAACUGGGUCUAAUACCGGAUAGGACCACUGCCUGCAUGGGUGGUGGUGGAAAGCUUUUGCGGUGUGGGAUGGGCCCGCGGUCUAUCAGCUUGUUGGUGGGGUGAUGGCCUACCAAGGCGACGACGGGUAGCCGGCCUGAGAGGGUGACCGGCCACACUGGGACUGAGAUACGGCCCAGACUCCUACGGGAGGCAGCAGUGGGGAAUAUUGCACAAUGGGCGCAAGCCUGAUGCAGCGACGCCGCGUGAGGGAUGACGGCCUUCGGGUUGUAAACCUCCUUCAGCACCGACGAAGCGCAAGUGACGGUAGGUGCAGAAGAAGGACCGGCCAACUACGUGCCAGCAGCCGCAGUAACAC